rnacentral:rRNA from 1 species
GACGAACGCUGGCGGCGUGCUUAACACAUGCAAGUCGAACGGAAAGGCCCUGCUUUUGUGGGGUGCUCGAGUGGCGAACGGGUGAGUAACACGUGAGUAACCUGCCCUUGACUUUGGGAUAACUUCAGGAAACUGGGGCUAAUACCGGAUAGGAGCUCCUGCUGCAUGGUGGGGGUUGGAAAGUUUCGGCGGUUGGGGAUGGACUCGCGGCUUAUCAGCUUGUUGGUGGGGUAGUGGCUUACCAAGGCUUUGACGGGUAGCCGGCCUGAGAGGGUGACCGGCGAGAGUGGGAAGGAGAUAAGGGGCAGAAGGAGCAGGGAGGGAGAAGUGGGGAAGAUGGCACAAUGGGCGGAAGACUGAUGCAGCAAACGAGUGUGAGGGAGGAAGGAGUGAGGGGGGGAAACAGAGUGCGAAGGGGAAGAAGAGGGAGGGACGGGAAGGGGGAAAGAAGAAACGGCGAAAGAUGGG